GACGAACGCUGGCGGCGUGCUUAACACAUGCAAUUCGAACGGAAAGGCCCUGCUUGCAGGGUACUCGAGUUGCGAACGGGUGAGUAACACGUGGGUGAUCUGCCCUUCACUUCGGGAUAAGCCUGGGAAACUUGGUCUAAUACCGGAUAGGAUCCAUUUUUAGUGUGAUGGUUGGAAAGUUUUUUCGGUGUAGGAUGAGCUCGCGGCCUAUCAUCUUGUUGUUGGGGUAAUGGCCUACCAAGGCGGCGACGGGUAGCCGGCCUGAGAGGGUGGACGGACAAAGUGGGACUGAGAUAAGGCCCAGACUCCGACGGGAGGCAGCAGUGGGGAAUAUUGCACAAGGGGCGGAAGACUGAUGCAGCGACGCCGCGUGGGGGAUGACGGACUUCGGGUUGUAAACUCGUUUCGCUAGGGACGAAGCUUUUUGUGACGGUACCUAGAUAAGAAGCACCGGCUAACUACGUG
rnacentral:rRNA from 1 species